GGCCCGCGGCCGUCCCCGGGCAGCACCCCCGGAGCACCCCCCGCCCGGCAGCCUCCACCGAGCGACAGCAACGCCUCCGACCCGCCACCCAUCGCUGGAUGUCCCUCCACUUUUCCCACCGUAUCAAACAACUUUUACCAGUAAAUAUCGGUUUAUUCCUGAAACCAGAAGCCCUAAACAUACCUUUGUUUAUAAGUUUUCCUGCUCUGCAACUCUGGAAAUGGAGCCUGCAGGACCUAGAGCCUUCUCUUGCCUGUGUGGUUCUGAUUGCUGGCAGUUCUCUAAUACAACUUUAAUCUGAGCAGUUGAGGCUGGUCCCACCUUGUCUUCAGACGUCUUGCGGAGGACUCCUGUUACCAGUUUGGUACUCAAAAGCUACACCCCACCAUGAGAAGUCACUUAUUUUUUAAAAGGCAGUGAUAGAUUACUGUCUCUAGUUCUAAUGGAAAAAUCACAUUGCAAUGCAACUUUAUAAUAAAUUGUUCAUAUAUUCAUAAUUCCA
rnacentral:lncRNA from 1 species